rnacentral:rRNA from 1 species
CGACCUCAAAUCAGGUAGGACUACCCGCUGAACUUAAGCAUAUCAAUAAGCGGAGGAAAAGAAACCAACAGGGAUUGCCUUAGUAGCGGCGAGUGAAGCGGCAAAAGCUCAAAUUUGAAAUCUGGCACUUUCAGUGUCCGAGUUGUAAUUUGAAGAAGGUAUCUUUGGGUCUGGCUCUUGUCUAUGUUUCUUGGAACAGAACGUCACAGAGGGUGAGAAUCCCGUGCGAUGAGAUG